AGAGUUUGAUCCUGGCUCAGGAUGAACGCUGGCGGCGUGCCUAAUACAUGCAAGUCGAACGCGGGCACUUGUGCCCGAGUGGCGAACGGGUGAGUAAUACAUAAGUAACCUGGCCUUUACAGGGGGAUAACUGCUGGAAACGGCAGCUAAGACCGCAUAGGUAGGGACACUGCAUGGUGACCGUAUUAAAAGUGCUGCAAGGCACUGGUAGAGGAUGGACUUAUGGCGCAUUAGCUGGUUGGUGAGGUAACGGCUCACCAAGGCGACGAUGCGUAGCCGACCUGAGAGGGUGACCGGCCACACUGGGACUGAGACACGGCCCAGACUCCUACGGGAGGCAGCAGUAGGGAAUUUUCGGCAAUGGGGGGAACCCUGACCGAGCAACGCCGCGUGAAGGAAGAAGGAAUUCGUUCUGUAAACUUCUGUUAUAAAGGAAGAAAGACGGAUGGAGGAAAUGACAUCCGAGUGACGGUACUUUAUGAGAAAGCCACGGCUAACUACGUGCCAGCAGCCGCGGUAAUACGUAGGUGGCAAGCGUUAUCCGGAAUUAUUGGGCGUAAAGAGGGAGCAGGCGGCAGCAAAGGUCUGUGGUGAAAGACUGAAGCCUAACUUCAGUAAGCCAUAGAAACCGGGCAGCUAGAGUGCAGGAGAGGAUCGUGGAAUUCCAUGUGUAGCGGUGAAAUGCGUAGAUAUAUGGAGGAACACCAGUGGCGAAGGCGACGAUCUGGCCUGCAACUGACGCUCAGUCCCGAAAGCGUGGGGAGCAAAUAGGAUUAGAUACCCUAGUAGUCCACGCCGUAAACGAUGAGUAUUAAGUGUUGGAAGUCAAAUUUCAGUGCUGCAGUAAACGCAGUGAGUCCUCCGCCUGGGGAGUAUGCACGCAAGUGUGAAACUCAAAGGAAUUGACGGGGGCCCGCACAAGCGGUGGAGUAUGUGGUUUAAUUCGAAGCAACGCGAAGAACCUUACCAGGCCUUGACAUGGGAUGCGAAGAUGCAGAGAUGCAUCGGAGGUCAACAUCCACACAGGUGGUGCAUGGUUGUCGUCAGCUCGUGUCGUGAGAUGUUGGGUCAAGUCCCGCAACGAGCGCAACCCUUGUGGCAUGUUGCUAACAGGAAAAGCUGAGGACUCAUGCCAGACUGCCGGUGACAAACCGGAGGAAGGCGGGGAUGACGUCAAAUCAUCAUGCCCCUUAUGGCCUGGGCUACACACGUACUACAAUGGCGGCUACAAAGAGCAGCGAGACAGGGAUGUCGAGCGAAUCUCAUAAAAGCCGUCCCAGUUUGGAUUGGAGGCUGCAACCCGCCUCCAUGAAGUUGGAAUCGCUAGUAAUCGCGGAUCAGCAUGCCGUGGUGAAUACGUUACCGGGCCUUGCACACACCGCCCGUCA
rnacentral:rRNA from 1 species